CAGGAUGUUGGCCAUUGCCCUCUUAGUCCUUCUCUGUGCCUCGGCGUCUGCUAAUUCCAGUAAGUGAAGUGCCAUAGGGAGAUCAUGGGAAGGCAGCCAGUGUACUGCCACUGUGCAGGGUUGUCAGACACUGGAGUGGUUGGUGGGAGGAAGGAGGGGAGUGGGGAAGCUGUGCCCCCAGAGCAUCCGUCCCUCCAGGCCUUUCUUUCCCCUCUAGUUCAGUCCAGGUCCUCCUCUUACAGUGGAGAGUAUGGCGGUAAAGGAGGAAAGCGAUUCUCUCACUCUGGCAACCAGCUGGACGGCCCCAUCACUGCCAUCCGGAUCCGUGUCAACAGAUACUACAUAAUAGGGUAAGAGUCUCCGUGUUUCUGUGCUUUGGGGUCUGUCCAGGACCUUGCUAAGUUGGAAAGUUCUCAUUGACCUGGGAUUCCCACCUGUGCACAUGACCUUGGAAAGUCGUAAGGGCAAACUCCCAGGAGCCUCACACCACUUGGGUUGGAUUUCACCUUAUUUCCAAUAUUUCUGUCAGGCAUCCUUUAUCUCUGCUUGCUGUCUGUCCUGGAAUAGUCCUAUCCCACUCUGGAAACUUCCAUCACACAAAGAGCCAGGUGU
rnacentral:lncRNA from 1 species